UCGAGCGGAAAGGCCCCUUCGGGGGUACUCGAGCGGCGAACGGGUGAGUAACACGUGAGCAACCUGCCCCUGACUUCGGGAUAAGCCUGGGAAACUGGGUCUAAUACCGGAUACGACCAUUUUGGGCAUCUGGGGUGGUGGAAAGUUUUUCGGUUGGGGAUGGGCUCGCGGCCUAUCAGCUUGUUGGUGGGGUGAUGGCCUACCAAGGCUUCGACGGGUAACCGGCCUGAGAGGGCGACCGGUCACACUGGGACUGAGACACGGCCCAGACUCCUACGGGAGGCAGCAGUGGGGAAUAUUGCGCAAUGGGCGGAAGCCUGACGCAGCGACGCCGCGUGGGGGAUGACGGCCUUCGGGUUGUAAACCUCUUUCAGCAGGGACGAAGCGUAAGUGACGGUACCUGUAGAAGAAGCGCCGGCUAACUACGUGCCAGCAGCCGCGGGGUAAUUCCA
rnacentral:rRNA from 1 species